rnacentral:rRNA from 1 species
AUGCAUGCAUGUCGCGCUCUUUCACUGCGCCCCGGCGUCCGGCAGGUGGCCGCUGCUACUCUCGCCGAUGCUCAUCUUCAGCUUGUGCUUGUCGGCGCGCUCCUCGGCGGCGCCGGCGCCGGCGCCAUCUGCGGGCAUUGCGCUCCACACGGACGCCGUGAACAGGGGCCGCUCGUGCCACAUAAGCGAGAGGCAGCCGCCGAUCUCCUGGACGCGGAACCCGGCGGUGGAGAACAUGCGGACAAGCUUGGCCGCCUGAUAGGCUGCGCUCGGACCCAGCGGCACGUGAGUGAGACCCAUCCGAAAGAGGCGAUCGCACCAGCACGCAAGCGGCUCGUGGCGCUCGGUGCGGGCGCUGCCCUCGCCGCAGACGAUGUCGAAGAUCUCCCUCUGCACGUACGCGUCGGCGCUGGCUCCGUUGCCGAUGACGCCGCCACGACUCACGGACAUGGCCUCCAUGGAGUCGAGCACAGAGCCAUAGUAGAACAUGGCGUUCUCGAACCGCGUCGGCAGCCUCGGCUUGUUGUGGUCCGCCUCCUGCUCCACGACCGUGAAAACCCUGGGCUGCAUGGACGCGAUCCAGCCGAGCACGACGUCGAUGGGCGUGGGGAGAGACGUGGACGCGGCGUCCGGGUCCACCAGGAGGCGGUGGAGCUGGCAGAUGGAGUUCACGGCCACCGCCUCUCCGGGCAGGACCUGGAACAUCCAUGGCUUGAGCUGGUCCAGGCUAUCGUCGGUGACCCUUUGAAACGAGAAGGGCACGUUCAUGGCACGCGCGAGCUCGGCGAGGCGGAGGCCAGCUUCGUCGACGGCGGGCGCGGAGCCGAUGCCGGUGAUGCGGACGGACGGCGGGCCGCCGGGACGGAUGGAGAGGGCAUGGAUGAGGGUUGGCCACUGCACGCCCUGCUUGAUGGCGAGAUCCACGACGUGCACGCGGUCGCAGCCCUCAAACGCCUCGAGGAUGGCCUGGUUGGCCGUGAAGUGUGCGAACUUGAGGUAUGGCCCCGCGUCAUAGAACUGACGAUAGAGCUCGCCGGCGCGCUCCGGUGA